rnacentral:rRNA from 1 species
UGAAGCGUGGACGCCAGUCUGCGUGGAGCCGACCUUGAAAUACCACCCUUUAAUGUUUGAUGUUCUAACGUGGAUCCGUAAUCCGGGUUGCGGACAGUGUCUGGUGGGUAGUUUGACUGGGGCGGUCUCCUCCUAAAGAGUAACGGAGGAGCACGAAGGUUGGCUAAUCCUGGUCGGACAUCAGGAGGUUAGUGCAAUGGCAUAAGCCAGCUUGACUGCGAGCGUGACGGCGCGAGCAGGUGCGAAAGCAGGUCAUAGUGAUCCGGUGGUUCUGAAUGGAAGGGCCAUCGCUCAACGGAUAAAAGGUACUCCGGGGAUAACAGGCUGAUACCGCCCAAGAGUUCAUAUCGACGGCGGUGUUUGGCACCUCGAUGUCGGCUCAUCACAUCCUGGGGCUGAAGUAGGUCCCAAGGGUAUGGCUGUUCGCCAUUUAAAGUGGUACGCGAGCUGGGUUUAGAACGUCGUGAGACAGUUCGGUCCCUAUCUGCCGUGGGCGCUGGAGAACUGAGGGGGGCUGCUCCUAGUACGAGAGGACCGGAGUGGACGCAUCACUGGUGUUCGGGUUGUCAUGCCAAUGGCACUGCCCGGUAGCUAAAUGCGGAAGAGAUAAGUGCUGAAAGCAUCUAAGCACGAAACUUGCCCCGAGAUGAGUUCUCCCUGAGACUUAGAGUCUCCUGAAGGAACGUUGAAGACGACGACGUUGAUAGGCCGGGUGUGUAAGCGCAGCGAUGCGUUGAGCUAACCGGUACUAAUGAACCGUGAGGCUUAACCUU